rnacentral:lncRNA from 1 species
AAACAACCAGGCUACUAUUUCACCAGUAGGCACACCUUGCUUGGCAGGACUUAUUAAUGAAGGGAUGUUGAAGUUUAUCAAAUACCCUUUUCUGUAUCUUUCAAGAUGAUGAUGAUGUUGCUUUUGAUGGAGAUGCUUUGGCGCAGCAGUAGAAACCCCAACUAAGAUCGUGCUUAUGUCAGAUUGGUUUCGUGAUAGAAUCGGAUCUGGACAGCAGUUUCCUUCAAUAAACGUCAGUGGAGCACCUUCUGGGUCCCUGGCAUGGAUGGACAGCAUCCCAAGAGGACUUUAGGUUGCCAUAUGAUUUGUUUCUCAACCAGCAUAUGAACUUUCCCAAGAUGAGGCAGGCCUUUUCAGUGUUACGCCCAAAUCCCAAAUCUAGGUGCAGAGUGCACAGCCAAAUCUCACCAAGCCUUCGUCUUCCUGAUAGAACAUGCUCGAUUUUAGCUGACUUCAUUCAGAAGUAGGAAUCAGAUACUAGUUGGCACAGCAGAAAAAAAAAAAAAAAAAAAAAAACCCAAAUCACCCUCUGGCAAGGAAGGCGUUAUGCAACUGCCUUAGAAGUAAAUUUACCUUCUUAAUUAUGGAUGCCUGUGGCUAUAAUUACAGAUAAGUAGCAUUUCCCACGUCUAAUCUUCUUCCUGCUUCCUUCUCUGAGCCCAUCGGGGUAACUCUCCUGGGCCUUCUAUUUAAUUCUCAGAGGUAGUGAGACAGAUUGAACGAACUUGCCUGACCGGAAGCUCAAAGGCAUCAGAGGUGGGGAGGGACAACACCGCUGAAGAAUCACCAUGUGGAACAGGGAAGCUUUGCUGACCUGCAGCGUCAGACUUCCAGACUGUCUCAACGUAGAGUGGCUUCCUGAGUCCUCCCGCCCUUCCUGGGGUUGUUCUGCAUUCAAUGGGUCAUGAGGCAGGCAUGCAAAACUUAUAUGAGCCGUGCCAGGCAGGUAUCACCCUGGAGUUCCAGAACAGGUGAAUAAACUUUCUCAGGCCUAAAUUAUAAACCAUUGUGUCCGGGGGCCGGAUUCCUGCAAAUACCCUAUUGGCUUCAGAAGUGUUGGUUCCUAUUAGACACAGAACAUUCUUGUCUUCUAAAAACAAACAAACAAACAAACAAACAAACCCCAAGCCUGUGGACAGAGGUUGGGAAGGUGAAGAGUAGGCCCUCUGUAGAUCCUGACAGCUUGGAAACUGAUCAUUUUCCAUGCCACGACUCUGAGCCCUUGUUCCAGUGGUUGACUAAGCAUGGCAGCGGUACACAGAGGUGCCGGCUCCAACCUCCAAAAGGCCUGACAGAAGCAACCCCACAUCUUUGUUCAGGGAAAAGACUUUACUUUCUAUCACACCCGACAGAGGAUCUUACUGUUUCUCUCCUCAGGCAUUUUCUGUUCUUUUGAUACCUUUUGCCUCCUGCCUGAACCCUGGAUGUAAUUCCCUUGCACAAAGCCCUCUGAAGAUGCUUAUAAAACUUGGAGCCAAGUCAAUCUACUUAAGCUCUACCUUUGCUUGGUCUCUUUAAGUUUAUCUCUCACAGCCCAGGUAGCUCAGCACUUCUCCUGCUCCUCACUUCGGCUCCUAAGAGGCCGAGAGGGCUUUCCCUGUUGCCUUGGCCCUCAGGGUUGGCAAAUGAAACAGUACCUACCAGCUCUGCGCUUUCUAAAGAGAGCCACCAGCUUUCUGGGGCCAAUUGAGAUGUGGCUAAGCAUACUCUGCUGUUUCCAGCAACCACCUCACCCUGCUCUCCCUGCUCCAGCCCACCCAGUCUCAGGAGAAGCAAGAAGAGAAGCAAAGAGAUGCUGAGGGAUUGUGAGGGCCAGCAGUAGGGUGUUCUGUCUUUGAGGGGGCAGUGAUACUUGCUUCACCGCACACUGCUGUGCUCUGAGAACCACAUCUCACCAUUCUAAAAAGAGAGGAUUUUGUGUGUGUGUGUGUGUGUGUGAACAUGGCUAUAGGUGUUUUAAAAUGAAUUUGCAUGUUAGAACAAUAUAUUGAUAAAAACAGAUUUAAAUUAAAUUUUAGAACUUAAGCUGGGUGGUGCUGGUGGCAGCCUUUAAUCUCAGCCCCUAGGAGACAGAGACGGAUGGAUCUCUUCAAGUUCAAGGGCAGCCUGGUGUACAAAGUGAGUUCUAGGACAAUGAGGUGCUAUAUAGAAAAACCAUGCCUAGAAACAAACAAACAAACAAACAAACAAAAUUUAAAACUUAAAAUGGUUCUUGGAUUCUGUUGUCUAAACGUAAAUGAUAACCAAAAACUUGAAAUUCAAGGGAUUGCUGAACUUAAAAAUGAGUAUUUCCUCACCCUGGGAGGGGAGGGGCAUGGGACACAGACUUUAACUCUUUUAUGGCCUGGGCCAAGUUGGAAUGUUGACACUUGGUUUGGCUGCACACAGUUUAUUGGAAGAAAUAGUAAGCCAAGUGCCUUGGAAAUGAUCAAGGGCAUACAUCCACCCAUCAUAUGCGUCAUAUCACCCUGGUUCCUUCACAUGCUCAAUGAAGAUAGGGAAGAUGGGAAGAAGGUCAUGGGGAUGUGGAUAUACGCUGUCUGGGUUUGAGGUCAGAUCCAUAGCAUGCUAGAUUAGGGACUUUGGGUGAGUCACUUAAUGGUUUUACAAUUCAUGUCCCUUAUUGUAAGAUGAGCCUAGUAACACACCGCUUUUGGUGUAACUGACGGGACUGGAUAAGUUAACACGUGUAAGAUACUUGGAAUGGUAGUGCAUGGUGCCAUGCCUCUGAUUAUUGCUUGCUGUCUGUGCUAAAGUUAAUGGAAGAAAAAGAUAUAUUCAUAAAGCCUUAGUACUGGGACUGGAGAGAUGGAUCAGUGGCUAAGAUUACUUCAUCCUCUUGCAGAGGACAGUGUGGUGCCCGGGACUCACAUUGCACUGUUCAUACUUGCCUGAAAUUCCAGUUUUCAAUUCCUCUUUCUGAAUCCACACACUUAUGAUACACAUACAAUUAAGC